rnacentral:rRNA from 1 species
GACAGAGGUGCCAAGCGUUAUGCGGAAUCACUGGGCUUAAAGCGUGUGUAGGCGGACUUGUAAGUACCUUGUGAAAUCCCACGGCUCAACCGUGGAACUGCUUGGUAUACUGCUUGUCUUGAGCCACUUAGGGGCUACCGGAACAAAUGGUGGAGCGGUGAAAUGCGUAGAUAUCAUUUGGAACGCCAAUGGUGAAAACAGGUAGCUGGGAGUGUGCUGACGCUGAGACACGAAAGCCAGGGGAGCGAACGGG